GGCCCCAUAGUCUAGCGGUCAGGACGUUGCCCUCUCAAGGCAGUAACACGGGUUCAAAUCCCGUUGGGGCUACCA
rnacentral:tRNA from 2 species